CGUGGCCAGCGCCGCGGGGGCGUGGCCAGCGGCCGGUCAGGGGGCGUGACCCGGGCGCGCUCCAGGGGCCGGCGGCGGCUGCGGGACGGUAGCGGCGGUGCGCGGGAUGGAGUUGCGCCUUGCCCGCAGUUAUCCCGGCGCUCUCGGGCAGAAGCUCCCGGCCCGCAAGUGGAGCGGAGCCCUCGCAGAGGCCGCUCCGCCGCCCGCCGCGGUUUCGCUCCCUGCGGGGCCGCUUGGUGUCACCCGCGCUCCGCGGCCAGGCCGAGUCCUCCCCCGACACUGCCUGCAGGCGCGCCCCCGCUCUGCGCAUGCGUCACCACCCCGGGCCGCCGAGGGUUGCCAUGGUUACCGCGACCCGGAAGUGCCGCCGGGGGGCGAUGGCUGCCCCCAGCCCCGAGCCGGCAGCCACGGCCCGAGGGGGGCCCCGCGGCCCCGCCGCCCCCUGAGGCCUUCCCACCUCUCUCCCACCAUGGCCCGGGGGGCCGGCGAGGCGGCCGCGGAGGGGGAGCUGGGAGAUGACAAGCUGUCUGUGGUAACCUGCCAGUCAGACACAGCCAUGAAGUUAAAGAAGAAGAUUUUUCACAAGCCUCCAAAAUCACCAAAGUCUCCCUACAGCUCAAGCACACAACUGUAUCCUAAAAAAGCUGCAGCUUGGAGACCUCUGCAGGGAACGGGCAGUGCUUGUUUUGAGAAUGCAGCUGUUGAAAACCCAAGGCAGAUGUGGCUGGGAUUUCUGAAACAAGGAAUGAGCCAUGCUCUGAAAUCAGAUGCUGACACGGGGCAUGUGCGAGCUAAUGUUUCCAGUAGCACUCCAGAAUAUUUGAAGGAAGCUCUAGGAAUGAAAAAGCCAAAACAUGCUCGUUCUUCCAGUAAUGGCUACGUUCCUGGAACUCCUGACUACAAAGAGAAAGAAGAUAUGUAUGAUGAAAUUAUAGAACUGAAAAAGACAAUACAAGCUCAGAAGAAUGAGGGAGACCGAAUGAAGACAAAGCUCCGUCGCCUGGAAGAGGAGAACAGUAGAAAGGAUAAACAGAUUGAACAACUGCUGGAUCCUUCCAGGGGCUCAGAGCUGGCACGAGCUUUGUCAGAAAAGAAGACUGAUAAUGGAUGGGUGGUUACUGGAUUAAAGCAGAAGAUUGUCAAGCUUGAAGAGCAGUGCAAGGAGAAAGACAACACUAUUAAUGAAUCCCAGGCAGACAUGAAGACCAGUAGUUUGGAAGAAGUGAGGUUAGCCAUGGAAACCUACUAUGAAGAGGUUCAUCGCCUCCAACUCCUCCUGGCCAAGUCUGAGACUAUGAGGAAAAAUGCAGAGGGCAGAGACACCCAGAAACGACUGAAGGCCCUGAAUGCUGCUGUGCUGAGGCUCUCCAGGAACAUCAGGGAAAUGCAGGCUGAGAAUCGCAGGCUGAAGGAGGACCUGGAUCACGUGCUGAGCACCUCCCCUCCUCACAGUAAAACAAAAAAUUAUAGUGAGUGGAGCAGACAAAGGCUGGUGAGGAAGAUUAUGGAUCUAGAAAAAAAAGUGUGUGCCAUGGAGAGCAGCAGGGCAUCCUUAGGUGAUAGUGAGGCUUCACAAGUGCUUCCUGAGUCAUCUUCACCUUCUGUGGACCUGGACCAUCCAUCAUCCCAGCAUUUAGGUGAGGAAUGCUGUCGCCUCCAGAAGCUGGUGAAGAAACUGAAGAAUGAUAGGCAGGCACUUCAGAACCUCCUGCUCAGUAAAGAGUUAGAUAUCAAGCAGUUACUGCAGGCUAAGGCUGAAGUGGAGCUGGAGCUGCAGAAGUGGCAGAGUAAGAUGGAAGAAAAGAGUACAGAAGAGCAGACUUUAAGUGAGGAGAUCCAGAACCUGACCCAGAAAGUAGGGAAACUGGAGUUAAAACUGGAGGAGGAGAAAAGACAAAUGGGAGAAGAUACAGUGGAAAAGCUUAAUAAGGCUCCUCCAGUCUGCACAGUGACAGGCAAAGAAAAUCACAGGAAAGAACAAGCAGCCAGAAUUAUCCAGAGAUACUGGAAGAUGUACAAAACCAAGAAAGAAGAAGCUGCUCUGCAUGAGGCAGUUGUUCUGCUGCAGGCAGCCUUCAGAGGACAUUUAUCUCGACAGAAAGUGCUGCUGGAUGCUGGGCUGCCUGAUGCAAAGCCUCACACCGAGAACUCCUGCCUGCCUUCCAUGUCAGACUCCUUGAGCUUUUCUUCUGAUUGCAAGGAGAGAGAUGAGAUUGUGACAUUCAUCCAGUCCAUUUUCAGAGCUCACUUGGCACGUACAGGACCGCCUCAGGAGAGGCCCUCUGUGCCCAGUGCCCCCAGUGGGAAAUCAGAUCCUGCACUUCCCAUCCCAGAGAAGAGACCAGACUCAGCAGCACUCCAGAGAUCUUCAGUCCCCACCUCUCCUCUUCCUGGCAGGUCCUGCUCUGCUCCCUCUGUGGCCCUGGAUGAGGCUCACUCCGACGACUCCGAUGACGUGGUUGUCCCUCCCUUGCUGCAGGUGAAGAAAAGCUACACCCACUUCUAAGGUCCACUGAAAAAGCCUUUAAGGACUCCCUAAAGAAGCCUUCUGCUGCUUUAUGGAAAUAGAAGACCCUGCUGUGAAAACAUGGGAAUCCUGCAGUCAUCCUCCUGUCAAGCAGAGUCCUUGGUCUCUACUGGCAUAUUCUGUGGAUUUCUUAUGGGAAACUUCAAUUUUAAAUCUUAAACACCAGAGGUAAUCCAUGAGGCAUGAAUGGAAAAAUUUGGUAUUAUUUCUUGGAGCAGACUGGUCUUGAAUUCAGAAAGCAAUUAAGCAUUCACACUUAGUUAUAUUAAGCCAUAAUUUGUCUGCAGCUGAAGUUGGAAUGCCCUUGACUCUUGCAAGCUUUGCAGCAUCUCUCUGUGGUAGGUUUGUCAGCUAAUGAAUUGCUUUCCUCAUAGAAACUUUUUAAGGAGAGAAAAAAGUUUCAUUCAAUGGGCAUCAUUAAGACCUGCAAAGAGCACAAUUUCCAUGUUAGACUCCAGGUUUGUAGGGAAGGAUUUUCAGGCAUGGUUGGUGGUCAGGUGCUGCAUCAGUUCCCCUGAUGUUUCCUUCUGUUUGCUGAAGUGCUGCUGUGCUGGUGCAGCCCUGGCAUCCCUUCCAGUGCCUGCCCUGGUUUUGGUUGUGUUUGGCACCUUGGUUAACGUGGUGUUCAGCAACCACCUGGAGGUGGAAGCGUUCAGUAACCACUCCUGCUGGGCUCAGGGAAGAGCCUUGAGCAGGAGGGUUGCUGUUCUAGGAAUUCACUCUGGUCCAGUUCACUGAUGGAGUUGCACCCUGCUCCCCUUGCCACACCCUGCCUGGCCCUCCCAAUUACCCUUUUCAAACCUGAGCAUCUGGACUCCCCCUGCUCUCCAGGACAGUGUUUGUGUUGUUCCUCUCACCAGAGCUGUCUGUGAGCCAAUGUCCCAGCUCAAGGUGUGGCUCAGGCUGUCCCAGCUCCCCUCCCUCACAGACACAUUGCACUGCCUACCACAUGAGCCCCUGCAGGGCUUCUAUUGCUGGUAGUGUGAACUGAGCUGUCAUAAAAUCUUGAAGCUCAAAAUGGUCUGGGAAGAAGCAGGAGGGACAAUAGGGACAUCAUGCCCAUUGUCAGACAAUCCCACACCUGGAUGUCGUUCCUGUCCCCUCCUCAGCCCAUCAGCUCUGCAGAGCUGAGCCUCUACCUCAGCAGUGUAACACAGCUGGAAAGUCUGUGCUGUACUCUGACUUUAGGGAUGGAAUACUGUAAAAUCUUGGUUACAGUGCUGCUGUAAAAAAAGGCUGUGCUUGAAUGGCCUCUAGGUACAUGCAUGGAAAAUUAGAAGAGCUUUUAAUAAAUGGGAUUGACCAUGAGUGCCUGUAGUACAAGUUACAAAUGUUCUGCACAAACAUUGCUUUGCAUUGCCAUUAUUUGAGCAAUAAUCCUUAUUUGGAACUUACACAAAUUGUGGCAGAACCUUCUAUUUGUCUAACCUGGGAAUUUUUCCUGAACAGGCUCUCUAUAAUCUACUCAGAGAAUUGGCAGUUUCCUUCCCUCUCUCGGCAGAUAUUUAAUAGCCACGUAUUGCAUUUCCAUGCUAGUAAACCUUCAUUAUUAUACAAAAUGUACCAGAAUGUUAUGAAGAAAUACCUUAAAUAAUUAAAUAGAAACGAAGAGUGACAAAACAAACGAACAAAGUGCAAUUUGAGCUGUGUUAUUCUUUCCUUUUUGUAUUCACUUAUUUGCUAAUUUGCUGAACUUACUGGACUGCAGUGGGUCUUGCUGUGAUUAGAGAGAGUUUGCCAAGUUCCUUUGUAAUUGUUUCUUUGCAAUUAACUAAAUAAUAGAAUGUUCUCUGUGUGGCUCUCCGGGGAAAAGAGCGGGCAGGUGCUUUUGCAAUAGGAUUUCCACAUCUUCCACCCAUUUCCCUAGAACUCAGUUUAAAAAGACCAGUAAAACAUGAGAAAGAGAGAGAAUAUUGCCUCAGGACUGGAAAUGAAAGAAUUAACCUAUUAUUAUUUCUUUCAGUUGGCUGAAAGCUUUUUUUUUGCUGGCCCUGGUAGUGGUUAUUUUUUGUGUAAACCUGAAAGUCCCUGGCAGACGUCAGAGGAAAGUCAUGAAAACCCAAAUGUAAGUUCCUGCCUGCAGAUGCCUCCACUCUGGGGAAGUCCUUCAAGCUGAGAGGAGAAGUCAGCUGGGAAGAUCCCUGGCUUUGCUGGGAGAGCAAGGCUGGAGACAGAGCUGUCAUGGAGGGGACAGCAAUGAAUGGGGGAGGCUGGAGAGCAGCCCUGGCUUUGUUAUUUCUUUUGACUUUGAGCAGAAAAUUACAGAGGAAGCCCUGGGAGGAGAGGAAGGGUAAUUUUAAGGGAGGCACAGUUUAGCUCAGCGGGAAGGAGGCACGGCUGGGUGCAAGGGCAGAGUUUAUGGAGCGGCAGAGUCAGAGGUGUGGCCCGGCAGUGGCAGCUGAGUGCCGAGGCACUGUUGUGUCCCUGACCUCCCCAUGACCAUCUGUAAUUUAGUCCCUGUCUCAAGAGGGUCACUCAUCCAUCUGCUGGCACUGGGAGCGCAAACUUGCUUUUUUUUUUUUUAAUCUGUAUUGUUAGCUAAAACCUUUUGUAGCACAUAUUAGGUUUGACAGUUGGGGAAGACUCCUUGCUCCACAUCAUAUUAAAAGCUGAAUUCUUUAAUUUCAUAGUGAAUCAGAAAAGCCAGGGGUUGGACAUUGCUGUUUUAAAAGGUGUUCUCAUUGGCAGUACCACUUCAGCAGUAGGGAUGUCUGGAAUCAGAAGCUUGUGAAGAGUGAAAAAUGCUACAUUUCUUGGAGGGCUUCUGUAGACUGACUGGUAGUCUCAAGAGGAUGGAGGACAGCACUGGCUGCCUUAUUUUGGAGGUUUAAACUAGUCUUUUUAUCUUUGCUGUCUUUAAUGUGGAACACUUCUCAUCUGUCUAUUUUGUCCAUUGAUUCUUUAGCAAAGCCACUGUCAGAGCAAGUUAGCAAACACUAAUACUGCUCUUUGGGUUACUUUACAGCAGGAUUACCAGUGAACAAGCUGACAUUUGCAGUUUGCUUUGCUUGACUGUAGAACUGCUUUCCAUGCAAGGGUGAUUUACUGUAACAUUUUAUUCCUGGGAUGUCACGACAGUGUCUCGUUUGUUCAUUUGGCUUUGGCAAAAGAGAGUGUACUUAUUUGUGUGGGAAGGCAAAAAAGGCUGCUAUAAUCUAAACAUGAGAGCCUUGAUAACUGUCUUGUCAUGUACUCAAGAGUUACCUGAAUAGGAUCAAAUGAGAGAUGCUAGACAUCCAAGAAUUGCAGAUACUUCUUUGUGAUGUGGCGCAACAGGCUGAAAUGCCAUGGAAAGUAUGGCUGGUGCUGGAUCCUGUGGUUUGUCUCUUAUUCCUCGUUUGCUGGAUCCAUUCUGCUCUUCAUUUUCCCAUAUCAUUAUAAAUAAUUGUGGGGGAGAAAUGAAAACUGUUGAUGCCUCUGUUUCUCUGUAAUCCCCAGUCCUCAUUCUGCUCUAAUUUAAUCCAGUUGUCUCGGCAGCAGGAGGCUGAGGGGAGGCUUGCACACCAGCACUGCUCCCUUUCCCACUCACCCCCAGCCCCACAGAGUGCCUCAAACACCCACCCCCAUGGAACAGCAUCCAGCUUUCCCUGUCAUUUGUUCCAAAACUUUCCGUGCACUUUGAUUUACAUCAGUCCUGUCAAACGAGAUCUCAGUGUGGUGUCCUGGCUGUAUCUUCUCUCCCCUGUCCAUCACAUGCUGACAGAGGUGCUUGGACUUGCAGCCUGGUGGGGGGUUUGUGUCCAUCCAGAGGCCCGUGGCUGUGGUUACAUCUGCAGGAUAAAUUCCAGCUUUGAGCAUUUUAGUGCCAAAUUGCAUAAACUCUGUGUCAGAAGGGGCUUAGGCAGAGAUCUCUUGCUCCCAGCGAGGUCUCUCUGCUCCUUGUCUUUGGGUUGUUAGAACUGGAGGUGAAAUAUGUUAAACCAUUGGCCCUUGAAAUAAUUCCUUCUUUCAUCCAUCCAUCCUUGCCAGCACUGUGAAAAAAAACUAAAUAAGGAAGAAAAUAAAAUUGGCUGAUGUUCAACUCCUGCAGAAAAAUAAACCCUUUUCUUGCAGAAAGCUGGAGGGAGUUGAGGUCCUCUAUCUUGUACCCUUGUAUAUCUUGUACUGGUGCACACAGCGUGUGGCUCUAAACCCUCUGACGUGUGUCUUAAUGCUAUUUGUGAGUGAUAAGAUUUCUUUUUAGCUGUGUUGAUAAUACUCAUAUGAAAAUCCCAUCCUAGUUAAAAGCUAUUGAAGUUUUCAGAACAUCAGCAGAAAUAUGUUUAUUUGCUCUAAGGGGUUAAAUGGCCCAUUUUAGCAUUUUUUGUCUCCUGAUUUAUGAAAUGCAUCAGCCAGGACAAUGUAAAGCACAAAAUCCUGGCUGAUUUGGAAAAGGAAUAAAAUCAUACUUGCAAAAGAGGUGGCUCCAUAACGUCUACUGAUCUGCCACCCUUUAGGAGAAAUAAACUAUUGGUGUUAUCCUUUUUUUUUUUUCCAGUGGGAUACACAGCAUUCCAAUAUUUUCUAAGUUUUCAUGAGCCAUCACAGUUUCUAAUUCUAAACAGAUGAGAGCUUCUCAAGCCUGCAAGACCUGGAAAUCAUUUGCUUAAAGUCUGUUAGAGGACUGGAUGGUUCUUUUUUCCCUUUCCAACUCCAAAUUACGUUGAGUAGUGUUUAAAAUACAAUGUUUUGAGCAAGCAGCAGUGGGUGAGGUGUGCUGCAGCAGGGCUGGGAUGGGGACAGGGAUGGAGAGACUGAAGGUCUGGGAGAUGGUCCGAAUAGACCAGCCAAGUUUAGGAGCUCCUGCCUUAAUGCUGGGCCACACUGCAUACUUACAGCAAGAAUUAAAUUAUUCAUUCUACUCCUUUUAAAAUAAAGCAACAAAUAUUUUUAUACAUUUCAGUUGCAACAGGAGCACUACAAUCUUUAUAAUAAAGUGGAUUAAUUUGGUAGUGGUGCUGCUUAUCAUUAUUUUUUCUGUUUUACCGCACUAUCCUAGCAUUAUCCAGAAUAUUUAUGUACUUACUUGUUUCUGAUGUGUUUCCCUGAGAAGGUAUACUCAUCUUUUUUACCUUUUACCUAAAAAUAUUUUCUGUUCUGUUUAGAAAGAAAUAAAAAGC